rnacentral:rRNA from 1 species
UGGGGAAUUUUGGACAAUGGGCGCAAGCCUGAUCCAGCCAUGCCGCGUGCGGGAAGAAGGCCUUCGGGUUGUAAACCGCUUUUGUCAGGGAAGAAAUCUUCUGAGUUAAUACCUCGGGAGGAUGACGGUACCUGAAGAAUAAGCACCGGCUAACUACGUGCCAGCAGCCGCGGUAAUACGUAGGGUGCAAGCGUUAAUCGGAAUUACUGGGCGUAAAGCGUGCGCAGGCGGUUUUGUAAGACAGAGGUGAAAUCCCCGGGCUCAACCUGGGAACUGCCUUUGUGACUGCAAGGCUUGAGUGCGGCAGAGGGGGGUGGAAUUCCGCGUGUAGCAGUGAAAUGCGUAGAUAUGCGGAGGAACACCGAUGGCGAAGGCAAUCCCCUGGGCCUGCACUGACGCUCAUGCACGAAAGCGUGGGGAGCAAACAGGAUUAGAUACCCUGGUAGUCCACGCCCUAAACGAUGUCAACUGGUUGUUGGGAAGGUUCCUUCUCAGUAACGUAGCUAACGCGUGAAGUUGUCCGCCUGGGGAGUACGGCCGCAAGGUU